ACCUGGGUGGCUCAGUCGGUUAAGCGUCUGACUUCAGUUCAGGUCAUGAUCUCACAGUUUGUGGGUUGGAGCCCUGCCUCAGGCU
rfam:Felis catus isolate Cinnamon breed Abyssinian chromosome F1, whole genome shotgun sequence.